UCAACCACAUUCAGUUGGCUUGAAACUCCAUGUUAAUUGGCCUUACUGUCACAGACAAACAGGCCAGGGUGAGCUGGAGUGGUGGCCAUGUCUCAAAGCUCAAUAUCCAAUCAAUGCCUGUUUUCCUCGAUGAACACACACACAUACACAUACACACACACCUACAGAGAACUUGUUUGGUGUUUGACGUGUGUUUGCCCAAGAAUAAACUUGUGGGAGAGGAAAAUAGGGGGAAUGAGGUAUUAGCUACCGGGCCGCUCAAUGCUAGCUCAAUGCUUGCUCUUGUUCUCUGUAUUACCAUCAGUAUUGAAUGAGGUAUUAGCUAACGGCCACUCAAUGCUAGCUCAAUGCUAGCUCUCAUUCUCUGUAUUACCAUCAGUACUGAAUGAGGUAUUAGCUACCGGGCCACUCAAUGCUAGCUCUUGUUCUCUGUAUUACCAUCAGUACUGAAUGAGGUAUUAGCUACCGGCCACUCAAUGCUAGCUCAAUGCUAGCUCUCAUUCUCUGUAUUACCAUCAGUACUGAAUGAGGUAUUAGCUACCGGGCCACUCAAUGCUAGCUCAAUGCUAGCUCUUGUUCUCUGUAUUACCAUCAGUACUGAAUGAGGUAUUAGCUACCGGGCCACUCAAUACUAGCUCAAUGCUAGCUCUAUGCUAGCUCAAUACUAGCUCAAUGCUAGCUCUUGUUCUCUGUAUUACCAUCAGUACUGACGCAAAUAGCCGAAGAUGCAUUAAAAGUGUUUUUACAGUAUAAAUAAAGGUGAACUCC
ensembl:lncRNA